CCGAGUGAGGGCCCCCGGCCCGACCUCCCACCCCAUGUUUUCCGACCUCUGUUGCCUCGGGGGCGACCCGGCCGUCACCCCGGCCGGGGCCCCCCGUGGACCCCAACCAAACCCUGCAUGCCUGCGUCUGAGUCUAUUGAUAAAUUCAAUCA
rnacentral:misc_RNA from 1 species